rnacentral:rRNA from 1 species
GCUCCGGCUACUCCGUGCCAGCAGCCGCGGUAAUACGGGGGGAGCAAGCGUUGUUCGGAUUUACUGGGCGUAAAGGGCGCGCAGGCGGCCACCGCAAGUCGACUGUGAAAUCUCCGGGCUUAACUCGGAAAGGUCAGCCGAUACUGCGGGGCUAGAGUGCAGAAGGGGCAACUGGAAUUCUCGGUGUAGCGGUGAAAUGCGUAGAUAUCGAGAGGAACACCUGCGGCGAAGGCGGGUUGCUGGGCUGACACUGACGCUGAGUGUGCGAAAGCUAGGGGAGCGAACGGGAUUAGAUACCCCGGUAGUCCUAGCCUUAAACGAUGAAUGCUUGGUGUCUGGGGUUUUAUAGUCCCCGGGUGCCGUCGCUAACGCUUUAAGCAUUCCGCCUGGGGAGUACGGUCGCA